UGGGACUGCUGUGGCAAGCAAAGCAAAUUUGAACACAAUCUAAUAAUUGAGAAUCAGCAUUCAACCGACCAAGAGUUCAGAGCCAACUGUAGAUUCGAUCUUCAACUCAGAAGCCAGAGAUAAUCGGGAUACCGAUUGGCAACGUUGAUUUAUAUCUCGGGGAUUUACAAACGGAGCUUUUCCCCACGAUAGAUUGCCAUUUCUCUUUUUGGACGACAAAACUGUAUUUCGGUAUUUUCAAAUUGAAUUCUACAAACAAAAGCUUCAUUCAGCAGGCUAAGUAUGAAAAACCCUCUCGUGAAUUUCUUUUUAAACCUCACUUCAUUACUCACCCAAGUUUCCAUGGAUUGACAAUGAUGGA